rnacentral:rRNA from 1 species
AGAGUUUGAUCCUGGCUCAGGACGAACGCUGGCGGCGUGCUUAACACAUGCAAGUCGAACGAGAAUCUGUGGAUUGAGGAUUCGUCCAAAAGAAACAGAGGACAGUGGCGGACGGGUGAGUAACGCGUGAGGAACCUGCCUUUCAGAGGGGGACAACAGUUGGAAACGACUGCUAAUACCGCAUAACGCAUAUUGGUCGCAUGGUCGAUGUGCCAAAGAAUUAUCGCUGAAAGAUGGCCUCGCGUCUGAUUAGCUAGUUGGUGAGGUAACGGCCCACCAAGGCGACGAUCAGUAGCCGGACUGAGAGGUUGAACGGCCACAUUGGGACUGAGAAACGGCCCAGACUCCUACGGGAGGCAGCAGUGAGGAAUAUUGGGCAAUGGGGGCAACCCUGACCCAGCAACGCCGCGUGAAGGAAGAAGGUUUUCGGAUUGUAAACUUCUGUCCUAAGUGACGAAGGAAGUGACGGUAGCUUAGGAGGAAGCCCCGGCUAACUACGUGCCAGCAGCCGCGGUAAUACGUAGGGGGCGAGCGUUGUCCGGAAUGACUGGGCGUAAAGGGCGUGUAGGCGGCUCUUUAAGUAUGGAGUGAAACCCCGGCUUUUAAGGACGGGACUGCUUUGUAGACUGGAGAGCUUGAGUGCGGAAGAGGUAAGUGGAAUUCCCAGUGUAGCGGUGAAAUGCGUAGAGAUUGGGAGGAACACCAGUGGCGAAGGCGACUUACUGGGCCGUAACUGACGCUGAGGGCGCGAAAGCGUGGGGAGCGAACAGGAUUAGAUACCCUGGUAGUCCACGCUGUAAACGAUGAAUACUAGGUGUGGGGGGACUGACCCCUUCCGUGCCGCAGUUAACACAAUAAGUAUUCCACCUGGGGAGUACGAUCGCAAGGUUGAAACUCAAAGGAAUUGACGGGGGCCCGCACAAGCGGUGGAGCACGUGGUUUAAUUCGAUGCAAACCGAAGAACCUUACCUGGAUUUGACAUACAUGUGGUAGUGAAGGGAAACUGGAACGACCUUAGCUUGCUAAGGAGCAUGAACAGGUGCUGCAUGGUUGUCGUCAGCUCGUGUCGUGAGAUGUUGGGUUAAGUCCCGCAACGAGCGCAACCCCUAUGGUCAGUUGCUAACAGGAGAGCUGAGCACUCUGGCGAGACUGCCGCCGACAAGGCGGAGGAAGGUGGGGACGACGUCAAAUCAUCAUGGCCUUUAUGUCCAGGGCGACACACGUGCUACAAUGGCCGGCACAGACGGAAGCGACUUUGCGAAAAGGAGCGGAUCCUCGAAAGCCGGUCCCAGUUCGGAGGGCAGUCUGCAACUCGACUGCACGAAGUCGGAGUUGCUAGUAAUCGCGAAUCAGAAUGUCGCG